UUACAUAAGCAGAAAAAAAUAAAAAAGAUGGAAGAGAGAGAGAGAGAGUAGUGGAAAAAAUAAGCAGACGAUGGCAGAAUAGAAGGAAAAAGGAAAGCCGUGGAAGAAAGAAAAUGAAAGGGAAGAUUUGUUGUGGAGGUUAAAUUCCAAUGAUACUAACUACUUUUUGCAAACAAAUCUUAUCAAAUUCAAGGCAUAUUUGGUGGAGGGGACUGAAAUAAGAAAGGAGAUAAUCACUGUGCUUGGGAUUAAUCUUUUUCUGCAGAGCAGCAAGACAGAGGCUUGAAAAUGAGACAAGUAUUUUGGGUAUUCUGACAGAUUUUCAGUGCGCCAAGAAUGCAGUAUACAUAAUUGAAAAAAAAGAGUAAAAGGAAGGAAACUCGAGAUUGGUAAUGUGCACACUGGACUAAUUAGAAAACAUUCGCACAAUCAAAUUCAGAAGGAGAAUGGGGUUCUGAAAUGUUUAGCAGCUUCAAAUUUGUUUCGCUGAAGAAGGAACAAUGGAAACUAACAAGAGUCAAGAGGUCUUAAAACACAUUACAUGAACCCUUUGUAUACAAAAUGAGAUGCUUGUGCCAAUGGAGGAGCGAGGGAGGGAAGGAGCAUACCAGUUCAGCCGUUUGAAGCAUGUCAUCGUGGCCCCUCGAGCUGAGCGCUUUGUAAAUGACAUCCGACUCUUUGAAGGCGUCUGCUUCAAUAAUCACUGCAUUUCCUGCUGCUCCUGCCCAGAAUGAAUGUCCUUGAGCACGGUACUCUUCCCAGCUCCCAUUCCACCACCCAUGAAGAGGAGGACAGGACUUCUAUCUUUGUGAGCCACCGGAGCCAUCACGUCUGUGCAUUGUGAAUCAUCAACUG